GUGCUUCCUUUGGUAGCACAUAUAGUAAAACUGGAAUGAUACAGCGAUUCCACGGCCUCUGAACAAGGAUUACGCAGAAACGGAUGAAGUGUUCCAUAUUUUU
rnacentral:snRNA from 1 species